rnacentral:snRNA from 14 species
AUACUUACCUGGCGCGGGGGAUACCGUGAUCAAGAAGGCGGUGCCUCCAGGACGAGGC